rnacentral:rRNA from 1 species
GUCUAGUAUAGCAUAUCAGCGAACUGCGAUGGCUCAUAUAUAAGUAUCGUUAUUUGAUAGUACUUACUACUGGAUACCGUGGUAAUCUAGAGCUAUACAUGCUAAAAUCCCGACUUCGGAAGGGAUGUAUUUAUUAGAUUAAAAACCAAUGCCUUCGGGGCUCCUUGGUGAUUCAUGAUAACUUCUCGAAUCGCAUGGCCUUGUGCCGGCGAUGGUUCAUUCAAAUUUCUUCCCUAUCAACUUUCGAUGUUUGGGUAUUGGCCAAACAUGGUUGCAACGGGUAACGGAGGGUUAGGGCUCGACCCCGGAGAAGGAGCCUGAGAAACGGCUACUACAUCCAAGGAAGGCAGCAGGCGCGCAAAUUACCCAAUCCCGACACGGGGAGGUAGUGACAAUAAAUACUGAUACAGGGCUCUUUAGGGUCUUGUAAUUGGAAUGAGUACAAUUUAAAUCUCUUAACGAGGAACAAUUGGAGGGCAAGUCUGGUGCCAGCAGCCGCGGUAAUUCCAGCUCCAAUAGCGUAUAUUAAAGUUGUUGUGGUUAAAAAGCUCGUAGUUGAACCUUGGGCCUGGCUGGCCGGUCCGCCUCACCGCGUGUACUGGUCCGGCCGGGCCUUUCCCUCUGUGGAACCUCAUGCCCUUCACUGGGUGUGGCGGGGAAACAGGACUUUUACUUUGAAAAAAUUAGAGUGCUCCAGGCAGGCCUAUGCUCGAAUACAUUAGCAUGGAAUAAUAGAAUAGGACGUGUGGUUCUAUUUUGUUGGUUUCUAGGACCGCCGUAAUGAUUAAUAGGGACAGUCGGGGGCAUCAGUAUUCAAUUGUCAGAGGUGAAAUUCUUGGAUUUAUUGAAGACUAACUACUGCGAAAGCAUUUGCCAAGGAUGUUUUCAUUAAUCAGGAACGAAAGUUAGGGGAUCGAAGACGAUCAGAUACCGUCGUAGUCUUAACCAUAAACUAUGCC